rnacentral:tRNA from 1 species
AAGAUUAAUUCUAUAGACUUCUAAUCUAUUAUUAAUGACACUUCAUUUAAUCUUU